UUCAGAAGAAGCACCGGCUAAUUUACGUGCCAGCAGCCCGCGGUAAUACGUAGGGUGCGAGCGUUAUCCGGAAUUAUUUGGGCGUAAAGAGCUCGUAGGCGGUUUGUCGCGUCUGUCGUGAAAGUCCGGGGCUUAACCCCGGAUCUGCGGUGGGUACGGGCAGACUAGAGUGCAGUAGGGGAGACUGGAAUUCCUGGUGUAGCGGUGGAAUGCGCAGAUAUCAGGAGGAACACCGAUGGCGAAGGCAGGUCUCUGGGCUGUAACUGACGCUGAGGAGCGAAAGCAUGGGGAGCGAACAGGAUUAGAUACCCUGGUAGUCCAUGCCGUAAACGUUGGGCACUAGGUGUGGGGAC
rnacentral:rRNA from 1 species